GUUGGAUUAAAUGAUCUCUUAGGUCUCUUUCCACUCUAAUCUAUUAUUCUGUGAUCCUAUAGUUGCUGGAGAAGGACUCAAUCUUUUAACUUUAAUGUUCAAACUGAAGAACGAAUCACAGCUCAAUCUACUCUAUAGAGGUGCCUUAAGUCUCCAAAAUCAUUCAACAUGGACAUAGUCAUCGUCUUCUUGAUUAUCUCCUUAAACCGAGUGAAGAGCACAAUGUUCAUGGGGUAGCCUUCAUCCCACACCUGGUUACAUAUCCAAGUCCCACGUCGAGUGCUGAGGAACACCUGGAAGAAAGAAAGAAAUUCAAGGAAGAAAGAAGAGACCCAAAGAACUGAGACAUAGAAAAG
rnacentral:lncRNA from 1 species